CAGCAACAGCAGCUUGGGAAGGGGCUGCAAAGACGCCCAUGUCUGCCAGGUGACAUGUCCCAGGAGGGGAGCUGCAGGGGAGUGAAUCGAGGGCUGUUCUCCUGGGAGCAGUGGCCCCAGCCACCAGAAGAUGCCAGCCCCCAGCUUUCUGUUGAAAAUCCCAGGAUUCACCUUGUCUGCUGCCCAGAGCCUCCUGCCAAUCACAGAGGAUCGGGGAGCACAGGGAGAGAGAAGUUGGUUAAAUGCAACCCUUGGAGAGGCGGGCGGCGCUUUGAUAGCACCAAACACCGCACUGAGGGGACAACAAAUGGAAAUGUCAGUGGCACUGUGCAGAGCUGGGAGUUAAAGAGCCCUGUUGUAACGCUGUGCUGAGCAGGGAGGCCAUUAACCAGAGGGAGUUGUGUGCAUGGGAGACCCACUGAGCAAGCAAUAAAGCAUGAUGAAUGUGGAUGAGAAAAACUAGAUCUGGGUUCCAAGGCGCCCAAUCAUCCCUGCAAACCUCGACCCUUCCAGGGCAGAGUCCCACAGAGAUAGCACUGUGUACCUUUGAGCAGGUGGAACCUGGGUCUGAUUCUUAGCAAAUGUGCAGCUCAUGCUUAGAUUCUCAUUCCUGAAGUCUGGCUUUACUGGAAUUGGACAACAUGGAAGAACCUAAGCUGAGACGAGUCCCGUUUGCCAGAGUAAAGGACACGACAGGAGCAUCUUUCCUGAGGAAGGACAUCUGUCACCUGUGCUAAGAGAACUCCAAGAGAGGAUAAAGAGGAUAAUAACCGUACCAGCUUCACCAGCCCGUGGAGAGAACAGCUGAAGAGAGCAUGUGAAAUUGCUGUGAUGAAUAGCAGGAGAGGGGAAGGCUUCUUGCAGUGAGAGAGAUCUAAGCAGCACAUCAGGCCAGGAGGCAAACUGAGAGAAAACUUUUUUGGAUGUAACCAAAAGUACAGCUCCAGCUCUGGGAAGCAGCGUGAAAAGAGAUCCUCGUAAAGAGCGUAAUAAUCCUGCCCUGCAGCUCCUGCAGGACAUGGGCAGGGAAAGGAGAAAAGGAACUUGUUCACAUUUUGGCUGGAAGGACUGGUUACCUCCACCUGUGCAGAAGUCAGGAAUGUCUAGAAAAUUAAAGCACAGUGAGGGUACAGGGAUUUAAACAAAUAUGGAGAAAAACCUCUGGA